GCUCUUUAGUAGCAAAUGUAGCAAACACAUCUUUCAGUGAGCUAAUUCCAAUGUCUCUCUCCACUCCAUAGGCCCUUCCACAGAAGGCUUUAGAAAAAGCUUAACCGGAAGUGUCAUUGCUUGCUAGUGAGGAAAGAAAUUAAUAUUCACCAUCAACUGGAAAACCUAGAAAGAGAUGACUACUAUCUUUUCACUUGGCCCAACAACAUGAUCUGAUUCUUCCAGCAGUGAUUGUUAAGGAAAGCAUGGCAGAAGCAGCAAAGGAAGGGAAGGGAUGUUGGCCAGAGAUGGACAAAGUGGGUGCCUACUUAACAAAGAUGGUUCUUUAUUAUGUAACAGCACAAGCCUGCAAAAGAGAAGGAAUUUCCCUGACUGAAAGAUAACUGUAUCAUAGCAUCCCUCCUGGAAUUCUAAGCCCCCAGCUCUGUGGGGUUCUUUUUUCAGGCAUGCCCAGGAGAGAGGAGAAGGAAGGAUUGCCAUCUGCGUCUGAGAGCACAGAAUACAAGGGGACAUGCUCCCCAAGCCCAUUGCACAACAACAAGAGGAAAUGCCCAGUCCACCAGCUGACUGGCCUCUUUCCCCUCUUAAGGGAGAGAACAGAGGAAAGCAAACAGGAGGAUGGAUCAGAAUUCUCCACAAGGGAAACCAGCAAGUAAGCUCUGAUUCCUGCGGGAAGCAGUCAAACCAGAAAUGAGUGGAAGAGAAAUCAUAAGAGCUGCACUGCAUACUGGCAUCAGUUGCUGAAACAUUCAUCACCCUUUUGUAAUAUCACAGUCCACUAGAUCAUCUCUCUGAUCAGGCCAAAAGCCCUGAUGAUGCCAAAGCCUCAGCAUGCCUGGAGAAAUGUUUAACUUCAGGCUAACUAUGGGCACAGUCCAAGGGCGGGGGGAAUUGAUCAAGACAACUGGCUAUAUUUGAAUAAACUUCCUGAAACCAAGGCCACCUUUCCCAGUGGGGAGUAGGAAAGUGGCUCUUUGAAAGCAGCACAGUCACUGAGAAGAGAUGGCAUGCAGCCUGGUGGAGGUCAGCUUCAUGAUGUCCCUAAGAAAUUGCAUGAAAACCUCGGCAUGUGAUGCUAUUACAAAGUUGUGAGAAGAGGCACCCAGGAGGGAUUUUCCAUUUCCUGCCUUUAGGGAGCGACAUGCUUUACUUUUCUUUCUUUAAAAAUUUUUUUUGAACAAAGAUGCUAAUGAAGAAAAAAGAUGCCAGCAGCUUUGAUCCCAUAACCAGUUCCUGUACCUAUGGAGUAAUUGCAUCAACAGCAAGCCCCAUAACUAGUUGAUCACCCUGAGGAUUUCAUUGCCUGGGUUAAUUUUUGAUUACGCCGUAAACUGAUUAUGUGACCAUGAUAAAGUGGAGCAGUUCAGACCUAAUGCCAAACCACAUGUUUGUGUUAUAAAUGAACCUGGCUGGACUCUCCAGAUCGUGUGUGGCAACUGCCUUCCUCCUUUCCUGAUUGGAAGCAUAACACAGUUUGCUGCUUCAUCCAGACCAUCAAAUAAUGAUUUGCACUUGCCCUGCAAUCCAGGAAUGGAAACCAAGGUUUGACCCUAGUUUCCAAUCCUGGUUUGCAAGAGAAGAACUCCAGUUAUUCUUGGUUGGCUCGGAGCCUCAGCUUCCCUGCCUGGAGGAAAGAAGGAUCACUGCUUAAUUGUUAUGCAUGAGGUAUAUAACUUCCAUGGACGAAAAGUGCUGCCAAAUAAUACAAAACAGUGGCCAACAUCUUGACCAAUUGAACACUGCUGCUGCUUCUGUGAGGUGUGCUGGUGGUAGCAUUGAGUUUCCAACAAAUGCAGCACCAACACUUGCAGCAGGAGCAAGUUUCUGUGACCUCGCCUUUGCCCAGAAGCCCUCUGUGCCACCUGAAAAGAGGGACAUAUUUUAGGGAGGCACAAAGUGCUCCCAGGGCAAGGGGAGGUCUUCAAAAUUCACCUCCCCCCAUGCUACGGCCAGUGUUGCAUAAGUCAAAGCCAUCAGCAGCACUGGCACAUCUUACAUAGCACUAGUGCUUCAUUAGCCAGGAUGUCGGCCGUUGUGUUUAAGUAACAGCCACAGUGGGCUCUUAACCUGUAUUGUGAACCUAACUUCACAGUUUGCAUGAGAAGCAAACUUAUCAGCUAGUCAGGUGAUGUUUCAGCCACCAUUCCAUCCUUUAUCCCUCAUGCUUCAAGUGGGUUCUUGCAUUUAUAUGUCACAAAUAUUAAGUGGAACAUGCACAUCUCUUCAUCUUUUUUUUUUAAAAAAAACACCUUACAAACAUUUUAAAAAGAGUUGCUUUGGAGCAGUGGUGAGGUUUGCUGGAGAUGGCAUGGGUGCUAGCCAGACAGCAUCCCUGCACAGCUGGCUUUUUCCUGGUUCAAACUGAACCUUGCAGACCUAGCUUCUAUAGAGCUUGUCCCAGGAGAUAAUAGGGUAUAACUGAUCCAGAAUGUGGUAAGGGAACUUCCCAAAUCCCCUCCUCCCCACUCUAAAACUGUUAACAUCCAUCUUCUCCCUCUCAUGAACCCAGCUUUGCUAGAAAGAUUUCAGUAACAGAGAAAGGAUUUGAAUCAUAAGAAUUCAGAGAAGAAAAGUGGGGUCAGAACAGCCUUGCUGGAUCAGACCAGGGGCGGAGCCACCAUUGAGCCAAUGGGUUCAAAGAACCCGGGCCGCACCCAAUCAGGGGCCUCACCACGUGACCCCGACAUGCCCCCCGCACCUGAUGUCAGACUGAUGUCAGACACGGGGGUGCUGGUUCAGUUCCU